AUUGAACGCUGGCGGCAGGCCUAACACAUGCAAGUCGAGCGGAGCGGCGGACGGGGGAGUAAGGCCUAUGAAUCGGCCUGGUAGUGGGGGAUAACGUCCGGAAACGGGCGCUAAUGCCGCAUACUAUCAGAUGAGCCUAGGUCGGAUUAGCUAGAUGGUGGGGUAAAGGCCUACCAAGGCGACGGUCCGUAACUGGUCUGAGAGGAUGAUCAGUCACACUGGAACUGAGACACGGUCCAGACUCCUACGGGAGGCAGCAGUGGGGAAUAUUGGACAAUGGGCGCAAGCCUGAUGCAGCCAUGCCGCGUGUGUGAAGAAGGUCUUCGGAUUGUAAAGCACUUUAAGUUGGGAGGCGUUACCAACAGAAUAAGCACCGGCUAACUCCGUGCCAGCAGCCGCGGUAAUAC
rnacentral:rRNA from 1 species